rnacentral:ncRNA from 1 species
GAUGACUCCAUAACGGAUGGUUCCGGACCGGUUGAAUCGGUGCGGAUGAAAAGGGAAUGUGAAGCGGUGGACCCAAUCCGGGCGCCGUCAUCAUAGCCGACCCCGCGACUGUAGAGCGGUCAGGGUUUUCUGUCCGGCGUUGGUUCCUCGUGGUUGACAGUCUGCAAUAGUGCAGGCGGGCGGCGCGGAAGCGGCGACGGAAAAGUCACUGGCAGUGCGUCAUGAUCAACCGGGGCUGGACGCCUCUCAAGUCUACGAAUCGUCCGCCUUUUCAUGAAAUGCAGCCGGGAAGACGAGGAAAAUCCGCUGGCACGAUCAGGGCGACCGAUUUCCAGUCUGCCCGAUCGCGCCCAAAACCCGCGAGCCAGGAGACCUGCCAAUCGUGCCGGGCAAAA